rnacentral:lncRNA from 1 species
AUGACGUGCGGAGGCAGCGCGAUUUUUGAGUGGAGGGCGGAAGUAAACAUGGAGGACACUGUGGAGAGUCAGGAGAGCAGCUAUUGUGCAACUUUAGACCCCGUUUCUCGGGAGAGAUAUAAACAGAUAGUUAAAAAAUAUAUCGGACGUGAUCCGUAUUCUUUGAAAAUGUCCGAAUACACCACAGAAGUAAAGGAUUUGCCUACUAUCGAGGCUGUGGAUAUCACCAACUACUUGGUCCUCCAGACUUCUUACUACACUAGGCAGCAAAUGAAAGCUUUCAAGAGUCUGGAGGCGUACAAUUUUUUUGUCAGCGGGUGGGUCCACAACCUUGGAACAAAACGUCUCCGUGAUGGAUACAGUUUGGUGUUUGCAAGGCACAAUAUCUUACCUGGAUAAGUGAAUGUCUCAUUCACACUGAAGUCUUCUGGUUGUGGAUUCUCAGCUGGAAGCUGCAGUUCGGGGUUCUCCACUGUCACUAGGCUCAAAUCCGGGCUCUCAGCCGUCUGUUGCAUAUCCAAAAUCGCCUCUGCACAUCGAUGCUGUUCUGCCUUAAGCUUCAUUCUUUUCUCUCGUUUGAGAACUGAUUCCGAUCUGGGUUUUCGUUCGUAGCCGAGAUUGACCGUCGGAGCCCAGUCCUCCGACUCUUCGUCAUCCAAAGCACUUGGGCAGCCUAUAGUCCCAAUCAAGUCAAUAUUAGACUACUAACUUAAAAGCACUAAGUAAACGAGAAUUUAACGACAACCUAAUGCUAAUAAGUUCGUUUGCAAACAUAACAUUACCUCUGACGAAGUGGUCGCUGCAGACACGGGCAUUGGCAGACUCUGCUCCUCCCGACUGUAAACGUAAAUUUAAAAUCCAUUUUUUCCUACAUUUUUCGGUUAGAAUUUUUCAUUUUUCUCCUCUUCGUUGGGCUAUUUUUGGUACCCUAAAAUACCGUUUAUCGGUUUCUCUGGUCGACCUACUGGAGCAUCCGUAAACACAACAGGACAUAGGCAUUUUGCGUACUGUCUGUCUGUGAUUUUGCGCUUAUCUUUUUCACUUCCGACCGCCAGUCAAUUUUCGCG